AAGGCUGAUGGCGACCGGCGCACGGGUGAGUAACACGUAUCCAACCUGCCGUCUACUCUUGGCCAGCCUUCUGAAAGGAAGAUUAAUCCAGGAUGGCAUCAUGAGUUCACAUGUCCGCAUGAUUAAAGGUAUUUUCCGGUAGACGAUGGGGAUGCGUUCCAUUAGAUAGUAGGCGGGGUAACGGCCCACCUAGUCAACGAUGGAUAGGGGUUCUGAGAGGAAGGUCCCCCACAUUGGAACUGAGACACGGUCCAAACUCCUACGGGAGGCAGCAGUGAGGAAUAUUGGUCAAUGGGCGAUGGCCUGAACCAGCCAAGUAGCGUGAAGGAUGACUGCCCUAUGGGUUGUAAACUUCUUUUAUAAAGGAAUAAAGUCGGGUAUGCAUACCCGUUUGCAUGUACUUUAUGAAUAAGGAUCGGCUAACUCCGUGCCAGCAGCCGCGGUAAUACGGAGGAUCCGAGCGUUAUCCGGAUUUAUUGGGUUUAAAGGGAGCGUAGAUGGAUGUUUAAGUCAGUUGUGAAAGUUUGCGGCUCAACCGUAAAAUUGCAGUUGAUACUGGAUGUCUUGAGUGCAGUUGAGGCAGGCGGAAUUCGUGGUGUAGCGGUGAAAUGCUUAGAUAUCACGAAGAACUCCGAUUGCGAAGGCAGCCUGCUAAGCUGCAACUGACAUUGAGGCUCGAAAGUGUGGGUAUCAAAC
rnacentral:rRNA from 1 species